UGGGGAAUAUUGCACAAUGGAGGGAACUCUGAUGCAGCGACGCCGCGUGAACGAAGAAGGCUUUCGAGUCGUAAAGUUCUUUUAUAUGGGAAGAUAAUGAUGGUACCAUAAGAAAAAGCCCCGGCUAACUACGUGCCAGCAGCCGCGGUAAUACGUAGGGGGCUAGCGUUGUCCGGAAUCACUGGGCGUAAAGGGUUCGCAGGCGGAAAUGCAAGUCAGGUGUAAAAGGCAGUAGCUUAACUACUGUAAGCAUUUGAAACUGCAUAUCUUGAGAAGAGUAGAGGUAAGUGGAAUUUUUAGUGUAACGGUGAAAUGCGUAGAUAUUAAAAAGAAUACCGGUGGCGAAGGCGACUUACUGGGCUCAUUCUGACGCUGAGGAACGAAAGCGUGGGUAGCAAACAGG
rnacentral:rRNA from 1 species